GACGAACGCUGGCGGCGUGCCUAAUACAUGCAAGUCGAACGAAGCUGUUUUAACUGGUGCUUGCACCGACUUAAACAACUGAGUGGCGAACGGGUGAGUAACACGUGGGUAACCUGCCCAGAAGCGGGGGAUAACAUUUGGAAACAGAUGCUAAUACCGCAUAAAAGUCAAAACCACAUGGUUUUGAUUUGAAAGAUGGCCUUUGUGCUAUCACUUCUGGAUGGACCCGCGGCGUAUUAGCUAGUUGGUAAGGUAACGGCUUACCAAGGCAAUGAUACGUAGCCGAACUGAGAGGUUGAUCGGCCACAAUGGGACUGAGACACGGCCCAUACUCCUACGGGAGGCAGCAGUAGGGAAUCUUCCACAAUGGGCGCAAGCCUGAUGGAGCAACACCGCGUGAGUGAAGAAGGGUUUCGGCUCGUAAAACUCUGUUGCUAAAGAAGAACGUAUCUAAGAGUAACUGCUUAGGUAGUGACGGUAUUUAACCAGAAAGCCACGGCUAACUACGUGCCAGCCGCCGCAGUAA
rnacentral:rRNA from 1 species